rnacentral:rRNA from 1 species
UGGGUGAUCUGCCCUGCACUUCGGGAUAAGCCUGGGAAACUGGGUCUAACACCGGAUAUGACCUUGGGAUGCAUGUCCUGUGGUGGAAAGCUUUUGCGGUGUGGGAUGGGCCCGCGGCCUAUCAGCUUGUUGGUGGGGUUAAGCCUACCAAGGCGACGACGGGUAGCCGGCCUGAGAGGGUGACCGGCCACACUGGGACUGAGAUACGGCCCAGACUCCUACGGGAGCA